rnacentral:rRNA from 1 species
UUUUUAUGGAGAGUUUGAUCCUGGCUCAGGACGAACGCUGGCUGCGUGCUUAACACAUGCAAGUCGAACGCUGAAGCCUGGUGCUUGCACCGGGUGGAUGAGUGGCGAACGGGUGAGUAACA